rnacentral:rRNA from 1 species
AUUGAACGCUGGCGGAAUGCUUUACACAUGCAAGCCGAACGGCAGCACGGACUUCGGUCUGGUGGCGAGUGACGAACGGGUGAGUAAUGUAUCGGAACGUGCCCAGUCGUGGGGGAUAACGUAGUGAAAAUUACGCUAAUACCGCAUACGAUCUAUGGAUGAAAGCGGAGGAUCGCAAGACCUCGCGCGAUUGGAGCGGCCGAUAUCAGAUUAGGUAGUUGGUGGGGUAAAGGCGCACCAAGCCAACGAUCUGUAGCUGGUCGGAGAGGACGACCAGCCCAACUGGAACUGGGACACGGUCCAGACUCCUACGGGAGGCAGCAGUGGGGAAUUUUGGACAAUGGGCGAAAGCCUGAUCCAGCCAUUCCGCGUGCAGGAUGAAGGCCCUCGGGUUGUAAACUGCUUUUGUACAGAACGAAAAGGUUUCUACUAAUACUAGGAGCUCAUGACGGUACUGUAAGAAUAAGCACCGGCUAACUACGUGCCAGCAGCCGCCGUAA